UUCUAUUAAGGUGGAAUGUCAGUCGUCUUCUAUUAAGGUGGAAUGUCAGUGGUGCACUCUUCUGGGAUUAUCUCCUUCCUCCAACUCUCAACAUCCGAAUUUUCAGAACAAAGUUGUAACUGAAGAUGGAGAAUAUACCAGUAGCAUCACUACUUAAGACAGGUUGUAACUGAAGAUGGAGAAUAUAUACCAGUAACAUCACUACUUAAGACAGUGCAUGGCGUCCAGGCGUGUGUCCUCUAUCUAAGAAUCUGAAUCUGAAUCUACAGAUUGGGGUGUUAUUCUCGGGAUUAUUAUAUAAGUGAAUAUAUAGAGUGGAUUUAUUAAUACACACAGCAUUCGAAACAUGGUGAAGGAAAUUUAAAGCAGAUGGCCAUGCAAAUUGACACUCUAAUAAAGAAAUGAUUGUGCAGUUAUUAAUACGACGCUUGAAAAAUCUGUGAGUUUUCAAAUCAAGAACUGUCCAAGGUUUAACAGAAGCCAGAAAAUUGUCGAAAUACCUUUGUUAGUCUUGAAUGAAAGCAAGGGAGUUCAGUUUCUUUUAAGACCAGGGUCGAGAAAAGCUCUAAGUGAUACGGGCGGAACAAAAAUGCUUUUGUGUUAUUUGUUGGAUAUAUUGUGUCGUUUUGGCAGCUUUUAAUACAUGAAAGGAUGCCCGAAUAUGUCUCUGGUGAAGUUUAUCUAAAUCGCUGAUAAUAACUUUUAUGUUGCAUUAGAAGCUGUAAUAAUGGUGUUUUAUGGCGUUUAUAAAGCAGUUAUUGGUAAGCGCAGAUACGAUUCUAAGACGGGAAAAGACCUUGUAUUCAUGGAUUUGUCGCCUAUUGAACGGAUUUCAAUGGAAACUGGCAUAUCAGUGAUUGGAGAAAAACCGAUUUAUAAUCCAAAACAAGUGCGAGUGCAGCUAAUGCUUUUCGCGGGGACAGACGCAAUAGUUCUCCGUCCUGUGGUGUUAAUCUGGGAAUGACCGUAUUCUGAAGUCGGAGUUUGUGGAUUAAGUUCAUAUGUAGUGGUGAAAUAUUCGAUGUUUUUGUGGAGUGAUGCUAAACACAUGUCACGUGUGGAUUUUACUUAUGGAUUACGUCGGCAGACAGGACAAUCAAUGCAGUUUGGAUUUACAACAAGAUUUUUAAACCUUUAUCAAAGCUUGAACAUGUACAGCACGGUGUAUUUUGAGCAUGUACAGCACGGUGUAUUUUGAGGGCGUGUAGGGAAGACUUGAUGUGUGUACAGUUGCUGUUAUAAGAACAAGCUUUUCAGGAAGUCAUCUAAGAUUCCGGAAAUUCAGUCUAGAACUUUUGGUUUAGAAUCCGAGUGUUACUUUUAUAAUCUA